rnacentral:rRNA from 1 species
GUGGGGAAUUUUGGACAAUGGGCGCAAGCCUGAUCCAGCAAUGCCGCGUGCAGGAAGAAGGCCUUCGGGUUGUAAACUGCUUUUGUACGGAACGAAAAGGCUCUGGUUAAUACCUGGGGCUCAUGACGGUACCGUAAGAAUAAGCACCGGCUAACUACGUGCCAGCAGCCGCGGUAAUACGUAGGGUGCAAGCGUUAAUCGGAAUUACUGGGCGUAAAGCGUGCGCAGGCGGUUUUGUAAGACAGACGUGAAAUCCCCGGGCUCAACCUGGGAAUGGCGUUUGUGACUGCAAAGCUGGAGUGCGGCAGAGGGGGAUAGAAUUCCGCGUGUAGCAGUGAAAUGCGUAGAUAUGCGGAGGAACACCGAUGGCGAAGGCAAUCCCCUGGGCCUGCACUGACGCUCAUGCACGAAAGCGUGGGGAGCAAACAGGAUUAGAAACCCUAGUAGUCC